rnacentral:misc_RNA from 1 species
CCCCGGCAGCCCUCUCCUAAUACCCAUCACACGCGUGCGCGCAGCCACAGGCACCCUUUCAUCGACAGCGCUGUGCACGAGAAACAAAGAAACGCUGCUGUGUGGGAAGAAAGCCAGUAUCCGCCACAUCGAGAUCGUAAAGCAACUCCCCCUCUCCCGCACCUACUUUCGUCCAUUAAUGCGUCGUUGCGCUGCUCGGCUCGCUGCUGCGGCAGCGGCCGCUGGUGGCGGUAGCGACCUCCAAACUGUCAGCUCGUCUCUGGGUAGUGUUGCGAAGAGUUCGGUGACGGGCACGACGACCGAGUACAAGCACGUGCACACGGCAACCAGAUCGCCGUCCGAUUUCAUUCCGCCGGCGACCGAGGCCCCGGAGAGACUGCAGUCGUACGUGGAGCCGAAGCCGUUUAUUAGCCUCCGUCGCAUGCAGGUGUUCACCGUCUCACUCGGUGUCGGCGCAGCUAGCGUAGCGCUGGUAUACUUCUUCCUCAGCACGAGUAUCCGCAACCGCGUGGAGGAAGAGCAGUUUCAGGUCGACCGCAUUGUGGAACGCAACCGAAUGGCGAUGCAAGACCGCAUCUCCAUCGUGCCGAUCUUUGUUGCGCCAAGCACCUACGACGAGCUGUACGCCAAGAUGGUGAAAAAGGACAAGGAAGUGGAGACGCAGCUCACUCAAGCCAAGAGCACCCUCCACACGGAGACCAUGUUCCACGUAAAGAUGUGGUGGAACCGGUGUCUGCACAACAUCCAGUCCGCUACAGACGCCUUCGCCGCUGCACAGCUGCGACACAAGGAGGCCCAAGCAGAGGCGAACAUCAAGGCUACUCUGCAGUACAGCGGGUAUGAGCUGGUGGGCCUCUCCAAGGUUGGCGCGUAGGCCGGCAAAGUUUCGUCUUUCCUGAUCGCGGAAAUGUAGGGGGAGCCUCUGUUGUUGGGGGAUUUCCUCUCUUUGCCUAUUAUUAGUGUUUCUAGCGAGGCGCGCGCGAGGAAAAGGGGGGGAGCCUCUUCGCGGCGCGCCAGCGUACGGUGAAUCCCUCUGUGGAGAGUCGUUGCGCCUUUCUGUUUUGUCUGUUUGCCGCGAGCAGGCCUGACAUUUUUGUAGGGAAAGGAGGGCGCAUCUGCAUUGCUCGUGACGAUCUGCUGUUGCCUGUUUGUUUCUUCCUCUCCCUUCUCCCCCCUCCUCCUCUCACUCGCCAUCAUUGCUCGCUAGUCCUCCGUGUGGUUGCAGUGAAAGCUGCAGAGACGUCUGUGUACGUGUUGUGCCACGCGUGCGCCAUCGCCACGAUAAGUGGCUGUAUUUUUUUUUCCGUGCAAGGGCUACUGGUGCGAACGGAGGCCUUCUUCCUGUCUUGUAUCACUGCUCUCUUUCAGUUUUUUUUGUGCCUUCUAUACUCCUCUUAGUCAUCCUUCCUCGUAGCGUUGCCGAAGAGAGGAAAGGAACGAAGGAGAGAGGCGGGAGAGGGUAGCGUGCGCAGCAGGUAGUGGUGUGGAGGGAGAGAAGAUCUCCUCACGGCAGCGGACAAAAAGCAGGAAAGGCAAAGCGAAAAGGGUAAUAGUACCGAGCUGCGGCAACGCAGCGACAUAC